rnacentral:lncRNA from 1 species
AUGAGUCUGAAGAAUGUUCCAGCUGCAAACCUCAAUGUGGUCAAUGCCAGUGCCUACAGCCAGGGGCUGAGGGAAGGAGGAGGUUGUAAGUGGAGCUGUUGUGUCCCCCACUUGGAAACCCCUCUGAGGAGAGAAGAGAUGGAUCCCGACCCUUCGGUUUCACCUCCUGUGUUUCUCCAACACUCAAGUGGGCUCCACCACCCAAGCCUCUCUGGUGGCUUCAGGAAACCAGCCCGUCCUCUUCGUGUACCUCUUCUGUGUGCACCUGGCUAUGGGCGCCCGGUAGCCUCGUUGACCCUUACAGGUGGGCAGACCCUUAAAAUCAUGCAGGAAACUCCCUCCCACUGUUCCCCAUCCACUGCAUGUCAGACACACUGGGACGGUGACAUACCUGUGACCAGGUGACAGCGCCUUCCCCUGUGCCGAGAGAAGGUUCAGAGCCCACGGCCGAAGGUUAUUUAAUUACACGGAAGAACAUCCACGAGAAUUUGCCAAAUGGAAAGGCAGGUUGCAAAACAGUGUGUCUGCAUAAAAUUACACAUGAUCUCAGCUUUUUCUUUUUUUUUUUUUCUGUGCUUUUAUUUAUCUUUCAAGCUUUCCAUAUCGAGCAUGUGGCCUUUAAAAAAAAAAAAGUUACUUAGGAAAGAUUAUACGCUAGGAGACUCCCGCUCCUAGGGAUUUCUUCCUCUAAUAGUCCCAUGAGUACACAAAGGCACACGUAUCUGGAGAUUCAUCGCAGCAUUUCCUUUUUUUGUAUUAGCAAUAAACUGGAAACCACCUAAAUAUCCA